CUUAGGCAAAUCCGGGAUCACUUACGCCGAGCACCGAGACGAGUCCUAUGAGGACGAAGUGACUGACACCACGCUUCCAGGAAAAGCCACUAAGCUUCAGCUUAAGAAAAACCGUACCGCAAACCGACACAGGUAGGCAGGGUGAGAAUCCCAAGGCGCUUGAGAGAACUCGGGUGAAGGAACUAGGCAAAAUGGCACCGUAACUUCGGGAGAAGGUGCGCCCUUUGGUGUGGUCACGUGCGUGACUGAGCAUCGAAGGGUCGCAGUAACCUGGCCGCUGCGACUGUUUAUCAAAAACACAGCACUCUGCAAACACGAAAGUGGACGUAUAGGGUGUGACGCCUGCCCGGUGCUGGAAGGUUAAUUGAUGGGGUCAGCCGCAAGGCGAAGCUCUUGAUCGAAGCCCCAGUAAACGGCGGCCGUAACGAUAACGGUCCUAAGGUAGCGAAAUUCCUUGUCGGGUAAGUUCCGACCUGCACGAAUGGCGUAACGACAGCGGCGCUGUCUCCACCCGAGACUCAGUGAAAUUGAAAUCGCUGUGAAGAUGCAGCGUUCCCGCGGCAAGACGGAAAGACCCCGUGAACCUUUACUAUAGCUUUACACUGAACGUUGAGUUCUUCUGUGUAGGAUAGGUGGGAGGCUAUGAAACCAGGACGCUAGUUCUGGUGGAGCCAUCCUUGAAAUACCACCCUGAAGUGCUUGACGUUCUAACCUAGGCCCGUAAUCCGGGUCAGGGACCGUGUAUGGUGGGUAGUUUGACUGGGGCGGUCUCCUCCCAAAGAGUAACGGAGGAGCACGAAGGUACGCUCAGCGCGGUCGGACAUCGCGCACUGUGUGCAAAGGCAUAAGCGUGCUUGACUGCGAGAUCGACGGAUCAAGCAGGUACGAAAGUAGGUCUUAGUGAUCCGGUGGUUCUGUAUGGAAGGGCCAUCGUUCAACGGAUAAAAGGUACUCCGGGGAUAACAGGCUGAUACCGCCCAAGAGUUCAUAUCGACGGCGGUGUUUGGCACCUCGAUGUCGGCUCAUCACAUCCUGGGGCUGUAGCCGGUCCCAAGGGUAUGGCUGUUCGCCAUUUAAAGUGGUACGCGAGCUGGGUUCAGAACGUCGUGAGACAGUUCGGUCCCUAUCUGUCGUGGGCGUUGGAGAUUUGAGGGGGGCUGCUCCUAGUACGAGAGGACCGGAGUGGACGUUCCGCUGGUGUUCGGGUUGUCAUGCCCAUGGCAUUGCCCGGUAGCUACGAACGGAAGUGAUAACCGCUGAAAGCAUCUAAGCGGGAAGCACGCCCCAAGAUGAGAUCUCCCGAGAGCUUGACUCUCCUAAAGGCACCAUCAAGACUAGGUGGUUGAUAGGUCAGGUGUGGAAGCGCAGCAAUGCGUUGAGCUAACUGAUACUAAUGAGCCGUGAGGCUUGAUC
rnacentral:rRNA from 1 species